GUGUGUGUGUGUGUGUGUGCAUGCUCGCUCAGUUGCCAAAAGGAAGGUCAAGUUGGGCUGCAGCAAAAUACUCUUCUUAGCCGGCACAGGAAUAACUUGUUUUCCCAGUGGACAUCUGAGCUUCCUCCCUUCACUGAACUGUGAUUGACUCUAAUGCUGAGCGCUUGAAGGCACCACUGAAAAUUGUGGCUUUCUUGUGGUAAGACAUUAAAACAAACACCACCACCUCACCCUGAAAAGAGGAACAAAACCAAAAGCAACCGACCAACUAAACAAAAAAAGCACCCCACAUCCAAGCCUGUUCCAGCUUAAACAAAUGGCACCAAUGGAGAUCAAAGGACGUGGCAGUUAAAUGGGAGAUGAAGGAAGAAGAACAUAGGGGAGAAGAGGUGACUUGGCCAACCAAGGUCGGAGACGGUUUCAUGCUGCAGUAUUCAAAGCCCAGACAUUUUGUUUUCAGGCAAAUUGUAGACUUUUGUAGGGAUGUGAAAGGUGCAAUGCUGCUGGGAUGAAUAAAUCUAGACCCACGCACAGAGACUCCGGCUUUGUGCUGUCCCUGAUGACAACAGUCACAGAAGAGGCAGUGUGCAGUAUGGUUCCUCUGUUUUACAUAAGACCACUGCACAAUUCAACAGAUCUGAGUAACAACUGAAGUCAAUUAAAUUAACCAGACAAGAAAAACAGCUACACCCAUUUCAGCGUGGACAUGUGCAAUUGCAAGCAAUUACUGUGAUUAACCUUCUCACGGUCAUAUAAAUCCAGCACCUGGCUAAUAAGGCACACAUGUGCCUGUGCUGAGGAUUUUGCUCCAGGCAAGAGAUGUGCUCUUUUGUGAGGAUCCUUUUUAUUUGCCUUUUUCCCAGUCAUUUCCCAGAAGCCUUAAAUUUCUCCCUAGCCUUCUUUAUCUUUUUUUUGGCUUGACCUGAGCUGUGUUUGCCAUUGACAUGUUUGUUGUUAGCAGUGGGUGGGAGAGCCCUGCUACAGAAUCACACCAUCCUUAAGUCAAAAGUCACCAUUUGCAUCAGUGGAACUUCCCCAUCUUUGCAAUCAAGCAGCCUCUGCAGGAGUCAGAAGAAGUCCAUUCUUCCAUUGAGCCCAGAAAAACUGAAGGCAAAUUGUUGGAUAAUACUGAUGUUAUGGUUCUAUUUUAUAUUGCUGUGUACACACAGUGCUUGUUACCAUAAGGGCAAAUGUGUCAGAUCCAUAAUCAGCAGCCUUGCACUGAUAUGUUUCAGGAAACAAGCUUACCUUUCCACACACAUGGCACUGUUGUCAUUUUACAUUAUGUUUAUAAGGAAAAGGGAAGUACAUGGUAAACACAUAGACGCUAUUCAUCAGUAUCUUUGGAUUGCUGGACUAUAUCACUAAGAUUUUCCUAUAAACCCCCUUAGAAGUGGGUGUCUGCUGUUUUUGUUCAGGGUUACAGCAGAUUGUUUUUAGAUUAAACUUUAUAUAUGACUCACAUUCUCAGCUUGAGCACACUGUGGUUGCCAACAGGAAUGAAGUGAAUUUAGACAAUUCAUGAAUCAGUCCAUAAGCCACGUAGGGAAGAUUCAGAUGUAGAAAUGAUCAGUCACCUGCACUGCAAUCUCAAUGGUGUAUUCAGGUUCAGUAAAUUUCUCAUUCAGAAACAGGAAAAAAAUGCCAACAACAGAGGUUAUCCUCUUAUUGGUGUAAUCGUUCUCAUGUUGUUUCUGGGCAGUAUUUGUCCGCACCCAUCUUAAAUUUGUCAGUAAGUGGAACGUGAGAAUAUUAACUUCUGUACAAAUGGGAGCUUUUAUAAAGAUCUUCUCUUCCCUGUGCCAUUCAUCUGUAUGCUAAGGAUUCCACCUUUGCAAACUCCAUGCUCUGAAAUUCCUCCUCCUCUGCUUCUCCUCUUCUCCUUCUUUUCCAUUAGAGGAAGGUUAUUAUUUAGUCCGAGUUGUGCAAUAUGUUUCUGGUAUCUCUUGCUGGAACAGCCCAGGGCUCAGGCUCUGGCUGAGAUGAUGAGCAUCCAGCUAAACUGGGGGAUUUCCCCUGUGCUAGGGGAUUACGGUGCAUCUGAAAACAUGCACUUGCAAUGGAAAAGGACUUCAGAUUGCUAAACAAACGAUAUGUCUCAAAUUGUCUUUCUGAAAAAGAAAAACAACCUCUUGACUCUCAAGCCCCUGUAUGCGAAAUUUCCAGGAUGAUGGAAUCAUUGUGUAGAGUUUCUUGCCACCACUAUAUGAUGUAAAGGAAAACUGUGUGGUGACAAACAGCUCUGUCCUAUGGCAGUGUUAGAUAUACCAUGGGUGGAUUACUCAUUUUCCAGCUUGCCUUUGAGUCCUGGCAUUUUGCAUUUUCCCCUUUAUACUCCUCAUAAUACAGCUUUCAAGCAGAUGAUGGUUCUCUGUCCAGAGUUAUAUGCUGUUUUCUGAGAUAUCUGGAAUUGAGCCUUUACAGAAGAAUCAAAAAGAUUUUUUUAAAGCAAUAUUGCUAAUGGAUGAAGGCUUCUUUUUAUAUCUUGCCAAUUACAAAUCUCUCUAUUCUUAGGUCAUUAAGCAGUUUAAAAUAGAGUUGAAUAGGGCACUGAGUAAAACCAGGAAGUGUUUUUGUAUGGCUGUCAUACAUGGCUUGGGUGUAGGCAUCUUAAUCCAGGACAUGAGCUCAGAACGACCAGGCCCUUGCUCCCCUUAGGGCUAUGUUGUGUUGGGAUGCUCAGGGGUUCUGGGAACAGUUGUACCAAGAAGGAAAGGCAAGUAAUAUAUCGAUUUGCAACAUUUCAUCUUUGUGUAAUGUAUUAAAGGGAAUGUGCUUAUUUUAGGAUCAAAUAGAAAUCCUUGUAAUGAAGCAAGGUAGGGUCAUUUUCCCUUUUGAGUUCUAUGACUUCUCAUAGAAUGCUUUCUGUGCAGAAUUAGUUUACCUAUGAAGCAAUUAAUGUGUACUCUGAAAAACCGUGUUGAUAGAAAGUAGCAGAUAACCAUGGACUGUCCUUCCCUGACUUUGUGUUGUAAGAUCUGGGUCAGCCUAUGUGAUUCCUACUCUCUGCUGUGUGCUUCUGCUACUGCUAGUGCAGCUCAGGUGAGUUUAUCCGCAAGGCAGGCUUCCAGUUCCAUUACAUGCUGUUGUGUGGAAGCCUCUGGGCUGACCUAAAGCCCACCAACUCUGUUGGACCACAUUGCCCAUUGGAGAAGCCACUGGCAAGCUGCCUAUUGCACUGCUGGGAGAGCCAUUAAUGGGCAGCAAAAGUGAGUUUUGACACAUUGUAGGAAGAUUUUACUGAAGUUUCUGUAUCCAUGUUGAUCUCACCUGCCUUCUUGAAGUGCCUGGAGACUGAGUUUGAACAUUUGGGCCAACCUUUUUACAUGGAAAAGACUCCUUUUGGCUGUGGUUUCCAAGACAAGUGUAAACACUGCCAUUGUUCUGGGCUUUGGGAAGGCCAUGAAGACAUCUCUCUGUUGUCAGUGCCAUAAAAGCCAUUUCACCCCGCACAGUGGAAAAGGACUUUCUACUGAGACAUUGCAAUGACUUAGGAUACGACUGAAGAAAACAUAGAGUGCAUUUUUAUGGUCAACAAAUAGUUAUGAUUUUAAUGAGCAAUAGAAUACACUGGAAAAAAUAUUUUGAGAUUGUUGGUUUUUUUUUUGAAGAAUGAAAUAAACAGGAGCUGUCCUAUCAGGAAUGUAGAUCUGGUGUUUUAACAAUUCGUAGGGAACACUUGAAAUGUUAGGACUCGGUUAGGAAGUCUUUCUUAGGAAAGCAUCUGCUAGAAGAGGCCGUGGCUGGAAGAUGGCUGCUUUUAACCUGUCUUGUGAGGGUUGGUUUCUUCU